GGCCCUCAAAAGCAAAAAAAAAAAAAAAAAGAAUAUCCAAGUUCUGUAGAUUUAUAAAAAUACCACGAAUUGACUAUUGCUGUGUGAUAGACACUGGGCUAUGUACUUGAAGUACAAUAGCUCGUUUAAUCCUCCCGGCUCUAAAAGGCAGUGGAUGCUCACAUUGGCAUUCAACAUUCACACCAUCUUCCUUCUGGAGGGCUUUUCUCUACUUUAAAGGCUAGAAAGCUAUAAACUACAUUUCCCAGACUGCCUUGUACCUGAGGUAUCAUCUGGGGAUUUCCAUUUCCCAAGUCGGCUGAGACUUGGAGGGUAGAAAUGAAGAGCAGGCCUUGCACUUACUGUCCUCCUGGUUGUAGGAUAGUGGGGGCGUGGGCUUCUCCCUGGCAUCCUCAGAAGAAGCCCCUGUGUCCAGUCAUAGCUUCAUGGGGUGGGUGGGGCAUUCAUGUUAGCCAUCUAGGCAUAGCGAGCAGCCUUCUUCUAACCACGGUGGCUUCCUGAUCGUUAGGGCUCCUGAGUCUCAAGGGUAGUGACCUCAGGAGCUCCUGGAUUCCUGACCUGAGAAGAGACAGGAGCUCACUUUGAUUUGGUUCUGAAGUGCAGCUUUGAGGAAUCUGCUCUUUCUGGCCUCUUAAUGAACCUGCAAACUACUUAUUGUUUCUUCCCGUGUAGAUUGGCUAAUGUGGAUUCUUUUCUUUGCAACUCAGCCCUGAGCAAUACAGGGAGGUAUUCUUACGGUUAUUGUACAAGGAGGGAAAAAAGACCAUAUCUUGCUCAACUGAUCUUCAGCCUGGGUGGAGUCUAUUUAUACUCUCUGCAGUGGAAAUGAGGACCCAACACCAUCCUUCCUAGAACUCAAGUCCUAGAGGAUUCAUCUCUUCUGGGACUGGUUGUUUCAGGCAUGUAAACUCCUCACCUUGAACUUUAUUCUCGCUGGAAACAGGUAGGAAAAAUCCCCUCCUGGCAGAAAUGAUACUUAGUCUGUUUAUGCUUCCGAUGUACUUCAAUAGUAUUUUCCCUUUGAGAACUUGUAUAUCUUAUAGCUAAGAUAUGGAAAUUGAUCUAUUGGUAAAUAAUUUUGCCUAUAUUAACACUAUAAUGCCUAGAAUGAAUUUUUGUUUCUUUUCAUUUCAGCCAGAUCGAGCUCAGGUCUUAUCCUCUCACUCUUUCUUUCCUGGCUUCUUUUCUUUCUUUCUUCUUCUUUCUUUCUUUUGUGUCGAGAGCCUACAGUAUGCUAGAGUUGUUGGGGUAAUAAAAAGAUAAGUCAUGUUAUGUACUCUCCAGGAACUUAGUGUUCUGAGAAACAGAGCCACACCAACAAGUGCACAAAAUGAAGUGUUGUAUAACAUGGUUACUCCCUAAGUUAGAAGAAGAGAAAACAACCAGCUCUGCCAGGAGGAAUCACAGAAGGAAGACUUUCCAACCAACAUGGUCAGGCCAUUCAAGGUGGCUGUUCUCUUGCUCUCUCUACACCCCCUGCUCGACCAGGCCCUGCUUCACUCACAAGACUUUCCAAUCCCCUUAAUUAUAGGACUUAAUCAGUAACUGCCCAUGUGCUUGCCUCCAAGCUGCUGGUUUCCCUGGUAACCGAUGAGUCCAUGUGACAUUAAUCCCCCUAUAAAUGGUAGCCUCUUUCUCCCUCGAGAAGAUUGCAGCCAUGUCCUGCCUGCUGUCUGCUGUACACAGUGCGAGUGUUGCUUCAGGACCUUUUGCUGCAGACUUGAAUCCCUAGUCCUUCCCUUGCUGUUAUGGAUUUAACGGCCAUGUGAGAACACAGCAAGAAGGUGGCCAUCUGCAAGACUGGAGGAGAGACCUCAGCAAAAAUCAACCCUGUCGGCACCUUGAUCUGGGACAUUCAGCCUCCAGAAUUGUGAGAAAAUAGCCCCAGGGUACCAGCUCCUUGCCCGUUCCUCAGCAGAAACCAAGAUUCAAGGAACCAGCUGAGCUAAGGAGGAGACACAGACUAGGAUGCUAGCUAGGAAGCCAGCUUUCCUCUUCCUGAACCCAGGAAACAUAAGCCCCCUGGAAGGGGAAGGAAGAGCUGAAGUGAGGUUGAAAGAAGGCAGAGAGAUCAAUAAAACCCUCCUGGCUGGAAAAGAGGAGCUGUUGCCAGGGCAACGAGGGAAGAUGAAAUGUUAUGGAUUUGAAGGAGACAGCAUUUGACUAAUGGGGAAGAAAGAGGUGAGAGAAAACAGAGACCAGACGUUUGGCCAAAGCGAGAAUGUGAGGCACGUGACCCAAGUCUUUGCAGCUUCUCUAUUUAAGGCUCCAAAUGGCGCUCCCCCUGCUCGCAGCAUCCAAUCCUCUCCCAGCUCACAGGCGUCUCAUGCUUCCACCGUCUCUUCUCCCUCCAGCGAAAUUUCAUCUUAGAAAAAGACCAGAGACAACCUAAAACUCUCCACUUCUCACAGAGGCUCUGGGAUUUCAACAUGAGGUAAUGUCUCGUGCUAGAGUCUCUCCAGGGAUGGCAAACCCUUCUCGGAAGCCUGGGUCACAGGAGCGCAAGUCCAGGGAAGAGAGAAAUGUAUGUUAGAGUCUAUGUUUGCCCUUUUAACAGGUACACACAUGUUCACAUUACUCAUUACUUCACUUGAGUCCUCUUAUUUUAUUUUAUUUUUUUGUCUUUUUAGGGCUGCUCCUGUGGCAUAUGGACGUU